GCCCCAAUGCGAUUUCGGCGAGCGAAUGCAUCGUCAUGCGGUGGCGGCUCAGCCCAACGGUGCCGGAGAAGAUAUUGAAGCUUUCAAGCUCUGACGUAGUCUCCAAGACUGCCUCUAGCUCCUUCCCCAUCCCUAAUUCCUCGAAGAAAUCUGCAGCUGCAACUCCCCUGAGUUUGUCAAAACCUUCUGAGCCGCUGUAAACGCACAAAUUUCUCAAUAUUCUUGCAGCAUUCACACGAAGCAAUGGAAUCUCUAAAGUUGUUACCAGCUUUUCCUGCACCUCCAGCUUCAGAAUACGAUUACAGUUGUUUUUGCUAUCCAAUGCUAGCAUUGCCAGUGCUUCUCCAGCUGCUAUCCUUGUACGAUUAUGGAUCUCCCCCAUCUCUUGGUUGAAGAAAAUUCUGAACAGUUCCUUUAAAACACUACCAGUACCGCCAAUUCUCUCUGUUGCAUCCUCGUCCAGUGCCAAACUGGUUAAGAUUUCAAUGCCCAAUUUCUGAAGCGAUGGAUGUUUAUCACCAUAUCGCAAUACAUCCCUGAUGUUGCUGAUUGUAAAAACUAUCUCAGCAAUCUCAUUGCGGAGAAAUUUUCCUGUUGUUCCUGUCGUGCUUGCCAGCAUCUUCACCACUUGCAAUGAUCUUUUGACUGUUUGAAUCUGUGAUUGCGCAACAUGCUCGUCUUUCAGUAAUCUUUCUUCUGCGUGAGUGAAAUCUAUGAUUUUUGGCAGGAGACCUCUUGUGUUCCCAAUCUUACCACAGUUAUCAUGAUCUCGUGCAAGCUUCUUCAGAAUGAGGAGUCCCAAGUGAUUGAAUGUCCAGAAUGAAUAGUUGGCACGGUCAUGGAUGAUCUUCUUCUCACUUAUUUCAUCUGCAGAAACAUUGGAGCUUCGACCAUUAUGGAGUAGAGAUGAUAUUGACUCCAUGGCGCCAGGUAUCCCAGCAACUCUUAAUGAGUUCUGCUUUUUUCCUGCUAGUUUUGACAAAAUUUCAGCAGCUGAAAGUCUAAUCUCUUCUUCUUGUGGGUCUUUCCAGUUCAACAUCUCAACUAAUCUUUCUAUAACAGCAAGAUUCACCCCUAUCUUUUCAAGCGUGUCAUUGGAAAAUCUCUGAUUCAUUGAAAACUGUCGAAGAAUUCUCACUCCGAUGAGCUGCUCAUCAGGAAAACUUGAAUCUAAGAGCUCCAUUGCGAAAGAGACCAUAUCCAUUUUCAGGCCAUCGAAGAUGCUUCCAUUGACGCAUCUUGAAUAUGCAUCGUAAAAGAAUCUUUUUGUUGAGAUCAUACCCAAAGGCCCCAAUUCACAUUCUUUGUUCACCUUUUCCAAUAACUUCCGGAAGAUGACCUUCCAUUCCCAGUAAGCUUUUUCUAUUAAAAACAACAAAGCUUCUGCCAAUGCCAAGCCAUAGAAAAUGCUGAGAGCAGCGCGCCUGUUUCUCUUGUCCAUGUCCCCCUUCGCUAUAUUGCCAUAGUUGUGCUUGAUUAAUUUCAUUAGCGAGAGCACCACACAAGCUGUUGCAGAUAUAAGUUGAAGCCAAUAAAGAAGUUUACUGAUGUUCUUUGACAAGAAAACCCAUUGACCGUAUGGCAAAAGAGGAACAUCUGGUGUGCUCCAUUGCCGAGUUGGCAUCCUCGACUGCUCUGACAUUCCUCGGUUGUUAGUAUUUGAAUUCCCUCUUAUCUCUCGGCCUCGGCUUUGCUUUCCCAAUGCAAGAACCGACUUGAAAGUUGCUUUGAUUUUCCUAACCAGGAACUGGGACCUGGUCCUCAGUGCCCGAAAGCUGUUUAAACCAGCAUCAGCAAUCGACCAUGUUGCUUGGUGCUGCCAUUCUAACUCAUGGCUCCGGCUGAAUAUUCGAGUUCCUUCGAUCAACAGAAUAAUAGUGAUGAACCAAAAGUCAGUUUUAUCUAAUGUUAUAGCAAAACCACCAAGAAGAACCACAGUUGCCCAGAUGAACCCAAGAGUUCCCAGCCCUGUCGCUGCUUUCUCAAGUACUGCUAACCGAAGAGCAAAGAGCGUGAGCUUUUUCUCUGGUGCACGGACCGCAGGUUUCAUUGGUGGUACAAAAUCCACAUUACUACUUUCUCUCAUUGUGAUACUGGCCCUCCUCGGCUCAAACAUGGUGGUGUUUCCACUGCAAGUUUCUGAUAUCUGCAAACAAAUGUCGUUCCGAUCACAUGCUGGAGAUCUCCCAUCAUCCAUGUUUUUCAAACCAAUCAAUCAGAAAGCUGAAAAGAAUAAAGAUUUUUAGUGAGAUGGAAACUUGAAGUGCUGUUUCUGUUUGAGUUAUGGAUGAAGUAUGGUGGUUUUAUAUGCAAUGAAAAGCUUUGGGGACACGGCUUGUUUUUGGAUAUGGAAGGAGUAGCGUGAAGUGGCUUCUCUUUCUGUGAAUUUACUCAGAAGUUCUUCGAGUUCUGUUUUUGAGAAAAACAAGCACCCUUUAACUUGGAGCAAGUAGAGACGAGUUACUUUAUCUAGAAGGCCGAGAUAUUAUUAACUUUUUUUAUUUUUUUUCUUUUCUUUUCUUUGUAUAGAUUUCGAAAGCUUACUAAUGAAGGAGUUUGAUGAAAGCAAUUUCCUCAUUUCAAGUCAAAUGGGUCCUUUGGACGUAUUGACUUUUGGAGUUCAUCCACAAAGUCCAUGAAGAAGAAACAGUGGGGGAAAUAGUUAUUUUGUGUGAAGUUGAAGGAAGAAACAAGAGCCAAGCAAAAAAGGAGUUUUGGAAACCAGCCAUUUCCCAAAGCCUUGGAGUACAAGAAUCAAAUUGCAAGCUGUGGUUACAUGUUUUUAUUACCAAGCCUUUGAUUAUUUGGACAAUUAAGGACACGUGUCGAACUUUCCCAAUGAUAAACACAAUAUUUUGAUUAUAAUUCUGUCUCUUCAAUCAUACUUUAUAAGAGCCUUUUUCUCAACA